rfam:Triticum urartu cultivar G1812 contig126395, whole genome shotgun sequence.
CUGGUACUCCCUCUGUCCGAAAAUACUUGUCAUUAAAAUGGAUACGAAAAUACUUGUCAUCAAAAUGGAUAAAAAGAGAUGUAUCUAGAACUAAAAUACGUCUAGAUACAUCCCUUUUUAUCCAUUUUGAUGACAAGUAUUUCCGGACGGAGGGAGUACUAA